GACAGAGGUGCCGAGCGUUUUUUUAGGCGGAAUCACUGGGCUUAAAGCGUGUGUAGGCGGGCGGGCAAGUACCUUGUGAAAUCCCACGGCUCAACCGUGGAACUGCUGGGUAUACUGCCUGUCUUGAGCCAGCCAGGGGCAGUCGGAACAGACGGUGGAGCGGUGAAAUGCGUAGAUAUCGUCUGGAACGCCAAAGGUGAAAACAGACUGCUGGGGCUGUGCUGACGCUGAGACACGAAAGCCAGGGGAGCGAACGGG
rnacentral:rRNA from 1 species